CCUACGGGAGGCAGCAGUAGGGAAUCUUCCGCAAUGGACGAAAGUCUGAUGGAGCAACGCCGCGUGAGCGAUGAAGGCCUUCGGGUCGUAAAGCUCUGUUGUUAGGGAAGAAUAAGUACCGGAGUAACUGCCGGUACCUUGACGGUACCUAACCAGAAAGCCACGGCUAACUACGUGCCAGCAGCCGCGGUAAUACGUAGGUGGCAAGCGUUGUCCGGAAUUAUUGGGCGUAAAGCGCGCGCAGGCGGUUCUUUAAGUCUGAUGUGAAAGCCCCCGGCUCAACCGGGGAGGGUCAUUGGAAACUGGGGAACUUGAGUGCAGAAGAGGAGAGCGGAAUUCCACGUGUAGCGGUGAAAUGCGUAGAGAUGUGGAGGAACACCAGUGGCGAAGGCGGCUCUCUGGUCUGUAACUGACGCUGAGGCGCGAAAGCGUGGGGAGCGAACAGGAUUAGAUACCCUGGUAGUCCACGCCGUAAACGAUGAGUGCUAAGUGUUAGAGGGUUUCCGCCCUUUAGUGCUGCAGCAAACGCAUUAAGCACUCCGCCUGGGGAGUACGGCCGCAAGGCUGAAACUCAAAGGAAUUGACGG
rnacentral:rRNA from 1 species